GGGCAGUCAGGUGCUUUGACACCAUCUCUCUGAGUCAAAAAUUGUCUUUGCAUCGACAUGCAAAGGUUCCCAUUCUUAUGCACGUGUUCCUUUGGGACCGUGCUGUCCCUGUGCCAAAUGGUGGUAUGAUUAACCGGUCAAGGACUAUUUCCCCGACUAUGCUACCAUCGUUGCCACCUGAAGUUCGGCUGACACGCCAACCGAAUGAUAAUCAGGUGAUGCCAUUGCCUCUAGAAGUUGAAGAUGAGAUAGGAAGUCAGAGUGAUGAAUCAGAACUAAGGCAUGUCAGGGACACUGCUGGGGAAUCUUCUUUUCGCUUCCAUGAUUUUUCUCUACCAAAUAAUUGGGUGUAAGUAUUUUCUUUUAACGUUGUUUGCUGUACAUAAAGAAGGCAA
rnacentral:misc_RNA from 1 species